ensembl:lncRNA
CUGAUAACCGAAGCAUUUGCAGCUUGUGCUCUGCUCUGUGGGUGGUGCUCCAGCUGUCACUUUCCUCUGGUGCCACACAGUGAAAUGAGGGGACAGGAGAGCACGGACAGGCGAUCUUCAGGAGCUGAUAGCCAUCUGCAGUUGUCACACAUCUCAGCAGCACCUUGUCAGCAGGUAGGAGCUGGCUGAGAUCUGUAGCCUGCAGUCAUCCAGGACAUUCCCUCCUUGGAGACAAGCUGAUGAUGUCAGCCAGAAGUGAAGGGUUGUGUGGACCUGUUCUCCAAAUACUCCACCAGUGCAUGCCUUGGUGUCUCCACCAAGGAAGAGAGAACUCCACAGGCCACCCUGUACUCACUGUAAUGUUUCUACAAGAUGGAGUGGAAUUAAUCUCAUUGAACUCAGAAAAAUGAAAGUGGCAUCUAAUCUAAGCUAAUGUUUAGUCUCCCUGCAGUGAGGAGACUCCUCAAGAAGAGUCUUGCCCCUCCUCAAUCACCUCCAGAUGUGCCAGUCUUGUGCCAAGGAUGGCAAAAGAAGCAUGGGAAUAGCUGAAGCUGACACUCGCUUUCUCUUCAGCCAGAGCCAGAUGGAUUCCUGUCCUCACUUGAUAUCUCUACUGCAAUCCAUGAACUCCAACCUAAAGAAAAAAUACCCAAAGUAUAAGAAAUUCCUGCAGUAUGGCAGAACAGCCCCUCAACCAGGCAGGAAUGUCACACACCACCUGCAGCUCACCUGAAUGGUCAGCACAGUUGAAGGAAAACUUCUGCUGACUUUGCUCCCAGCAGCGUUCCAGCCCAUGUUGCCAGGUGGGAGAUGCCAAUGGGCAACAGCUUGUGUGAAACCUAGGUGCAUUUCUGAACCCGUCCCAGGCACGGCACACACACCAAGACACCCUGUAUUGCUAGCAGCAGUAGUAGGUUUGCGCAGAAAAAACAUAUUUGCAUUCCAUUCUGUUUGGAGUCUAAAUGGGACAUAACUUCAAAUUAACAACUAUCAAGCUGUAAUUCAACUCACAUGUGAGCAUUUCCCAUUAAGGGAGUGCAGCAAUUCCACCCAGGCUAGCCAGCCAGCCAAACGGAGUGAGCCUUGGUCCCAGAGCAUCAGAAGCAGCAAUGUUUCUCGCAGCAGUGAGUCUUGGGGCAGGGUGAUACACCACUGGUGGGUACCAAAAAGCAGAGCCCCUCUCCAGCCGUCAGCCCCUCCCCCUCCUGCCAAAUCCAGGCUGGAAUUGAGAGCGGAAAUGUUUGUGUGUAGCUCAUGAAGCUGGUUGGAAAAUUUUUGUCAAAACAGAUUUCCAUCAGAAAAUGACACCCUGUUGGCUUUGGCAAAUUUUUGUUCAGGAACAAAGUGGAGAGUGAAAAAAAAAUGUAAAUGUCAGCGUGCCCUUUUGACAUUUUCCCCAACGAAAAGGAUGGACUUGCUUGCUUCGAAAUGACUUUUCCUUGACAUUCAUUUUCUACAUUC